AGUUACAGACAGCUGCGAAAGUAUAUCGCUUGAACCGAGCGACUGCAGUCAAAUGAACUUAUUUCGAAUCAUCUAGAAUAACUUGGUUGACUUGCUCGUGUUUAGCUUAAUACAUGUAAUAGGAAUGGUAACAUACUACUGAAUGGCGUGCCUCAACCAAAGCCAAAUUUACAUCGCAUUUUGUUUGAGCCAGCGCCGUCGAGAGCCAGCAAUCUGUGGCCACAGGAUGGUGACUUUUUUAGGUCCCCUUCAUUAAUCAUGAACUGCACAUAUUAACAUGAAAUAUAUAUAUAUCGUAUGUUUACAAUUUGAUUUCAAUAUCGACAGUCCAUUUAAUAUUAUGUAGUGACAGCAAAUAUCAGGAAAAAGUGCACGCAGUUAGGAUCGUGAGCGGUCAGCAAAUGAUGAAAGGUAAUAGCAUAUGUUGGUUUAUUUAGUAGGAGAUAUCACACUAUUGAGAAGGAUCGAGUGGGGAGGGAACCGGAGAAAACCCAGACACCCAGCCCUGUGGACAGGGGUCACAUAGUGUCUCGAGACGAGAUUUGAACCCGGAUAGCGCCGCUUACAGUGAAGGCAAUAAUCGUGUGUUUUAACUACUCCACUACCGGGCAGGAUCGAAUUUGUCGCUCCAUUUAUAUGGGAGUAAUUCACAGAGAGAUGGAGUCCUGUCGGCAAAUGGACGUCAAUACUCGACAGAUUAGAGAAACGAAGAAUACAAGAGCUGCACAACGUUUAUUUCCUAUACAUUACAUUGCAUGUGUAAAUGUAAUAAAGGUGGCUUUUGGCAGUACGCACAAUACAGUAAAAUGGUGUCGGGAGUUACGAAAAUACAGCACUGGCCCCUGGACCAAAAUGUACAUACCGUAUACGGUGUACAUAUAUCUAUCAAACUUACAUCAGCGGGGCUCUUUGGGCUUUCAAUUUUUGAUAUGCGAAAGGUCAGAUCACGCUAUUUAAAAGGAUUGUAAAGGCAAAACAAAACUGCUUAGAAUCUCGUAAAGAGUAUGAUCAGUUUGAAUCUCGUCUGUUUUCGCGUUUGCUCGUGUGGUAAAAGUUGAAUGUUUUAUAGGAUGUUGUGUUAAAUAUGAGAAAUUACACGGGACUCUCGUUUCCUUCAACGAAGUCCCAUCCUCCGAUGACACCAACUCGAUCCCAGUGUCAGCUGAUGCUAUGAUAUGGUUGGACGUUACUUAUAGCCAUCUUGAUUGUUAUCACUAAUAUAUAUAUCACUAAUCCAACUAACAACACAGCACCGAUCACAAUUGAGUUCAAAUCCUAACAUGACCGACACUUCCUGUCCCUCGCUGACGUCACAGCACGCCACAGCCUCAUCACCGCCGUCACAGCCUUUACUACACUUUUAAGUCGACUGUUCUGGCUAGCCGAUCUUGACUCGUCUUUAACUGCAUAGACGAACGCCCCACUUUAGCUGGGGUAACCGGCAUAAUGCAAAAGAUUUAAUGAUGACUCUCAGGGCUGCCGAUAGCCACCAUGGGCCUCGAGGCAGAAGAGUGAGACGACUUUUACGCGUCCUUUGGACUAAACUGACAGUAAAUAGCUUUUUCCAGUUACAGUUGUAGUCGUAUGGUUACGUCAAUUGCUUUUAUCUACAUUUGCUAACAAUAUAUCAACAGUGAACUGAGCAAGAAGGCAAGUGCACACAAGACAGGCUCAAUGUUACACUAUCCAUUGCAGAUAUUUCUCGCUCGGCCUAAAUAAAAUUCCAACAGAAAAAAAAAGCACGAAAAAAAUUUUUUUUUAAAGCUGCAUAUGGUGCCUUCACUCUCUUACCGUUAAUAACUCGAACUUUUACACUAAUUAAGGUUCAAAUCUUUCACAACCUCCUGGAGUGUUCAAAGCACUCAACUUCAUAUAUCUCGACUAAUAUCGGUCUUACUCAACAUAACUGCUGUGUUGGUGGGCGGCGGAGAUGACCGAAUGGUGCUAGUAAAUUGAACUGAUAUGUUUACUAUAUCAUCCCUGGUCUCGGCUGACCCGUGGUUGUUACAAACCGAUAAAUUAUCCCUUCGUUCAUCGGAGGCCGAUGAUUGACUAAAAAUAAAGGUAAAAAUGAGAGAGUUUAUUGUCGGUGGUGAUGGCUGAUCAAGGUUGCAGGCGAAAUACGGUGUUGGCAGGUCUUGCGUUGCUCUCGUCUUCAGAUGCAGGAGACCAUUGCUGUUACAUUAACUGACGUCGGGCCUGCCAAUGAUGCUAUCCCAGAGCUCACGCUGGGCCACUACCCUAGCAUGAAAAUCUUUCUAUAUCUUAGGACACCUGCAAUGAGGACGCCGAGUUCUUCGCAGAACUUGUCUUUUAUAUAUGUGGGUUGAGGUCUGCAGUUUCACUAGUUGCAGUCUAGUUGUUUUGAAGGAACUUAUUGACUGUUUUCAGCUAGAAGUUGUACGUAUCUUUGCAAUAUCUAUACUCCAUAGAUUGAUUACGGCAUUGCUUUCUGUGAGAAAGUGGCCAUUGGUAUACGAUGACUGCAUGAGGUCUUGUGUUGAUCUGUCUUUGUAGGUCAUUAGUGGUUGGUAUACUCCUUUGCUGUCGCUCUAUGCCAUUCCCUCCUCAAUGGUCCUGCACUGGCUUUCGAUCCAGCUCUCCCUUGCUGACUUCAUCCAUUUCUUGAUGUCACAAGUCAAUUUAUGGUUGGGAAGAUGUUUUAUGUUUGCUUUUCCUUUCUCUUUUUAAGGUCCUACUUGGGGUUUGGCCUUGUUGAUCGUGUAUUUGAAGCUUCUAUGGGGACUAAGAUGAAGUUGAUUUACUUAUGAACUAAUCCAUCUGGUGAGUGCCAAGUGGCUGUUCUCGAUUUCAUGCAGGGAUGUUGGCUAAGUAAGUGUGAUUGUGUAUUGUGUGUAUGUGUCUGUAAAUGCUUAUAUGAUAUUUAAUGAUGUUUAAUAAGAUGUCUCACAAGAACCCAGCAGCUAUAGAAAUGUGACAGCAGAGGACAUCAUUUUACAGUGAUUACUGCCCAGGAAGGAACAGAAGGUUGGACAUGUCUGUUUGUGUUUGCCUUCCAUUACUUUUAAUUCUUCUAAUUACUAACCCUUCUAUUCCCCGCCCUUCCUUGUUGGACCACCACCUUGCCAUGAGCAGUGGAGAUGGGGCUCGCAUGUCUUCAUAAUCCUGAGAACUGUGCCGAUGGGAGCAUUGGUCUUGUUAGGGUCACCCAUGUUGGAAAGAUCAAGGGGUAGAAGAGUGGUUCACUGGUCUUCCUGAUUAAUGCACUAAGAAUUCAUUGAGAAUAAAGACAACCCAAGCAUACUAGCUGUGGAUGUAGCUAGAGUUGACCACUUGGGACAAAAGCUAAAAAGGUGGGUGAAGGUAGGGGUUGGAGGGAUUAGGGGAUGGAGGAAUAGGCGGUGGAAUGGCUGGGGGAACAAGGAGAAGGAGCUAUGUACAUGUCUAGAUAGAAGAAUAUAUACAUCCAUCAUACAGGUACGUGCGAUUUUCUGUUUAAUAUAUGUGAGUGAAAAUUAUAAUUUAUAGAUACUUGCAGAUGUCUUAGAUUUUCUCUGUAUAUAUAUAUACAAAGUUUUUUUUAGCAGAGCUAUCUCUUGUCAUUAACAUUGUUUUGUGAUAUAUAGUUGUUACACGAGAAUAAUUAAAAUUAUCUGUCAGAAGCAUGAUGGUUGAUCUUUACACAUUUACAAAUACCAGGGCUUGGAUUUAAAAAAAAAAACAAUGCUAAGUGUUAAUAUGCUAUAAAUCAGUGGUCCUCAAAGUGUGGGCAGCAGGCAUGUCAGGUGGUCCGUGGCUGAUAUCAUAUGUCAGCAAAGUGAUGUUUAAAUCACCAGAUAUGUUAAUUAGUCCAGUGUUGAUUUCACAUCAGUGUUAAUUGUCUCCAUGUCCAACUGCUCGUUCACAUGACAGGCUGGCUGACCCACUAGGUCUUGACGUCACAGCGCGAGCUUUGCAACAAAUGCGGCAAUUUAAAUUUGAAAUUCACGGUACAUAGUGACCUUAAUUAGGCCUUGGUGGUCCACCGUUUUUGUUUUUUUUUUGCUUUAGUAAACUGGUCUGCAAUCCGAAAUACUUUGAGAACUACUGCUAUAAAUGACUAAGUGAUAAGAUAAAAAUAUAAGGUCACUGAGAUAAAAAUUGUUUGUAAUUUAAAGUGUGACUCUGUGGACUAGUGUUAUUUAUUAAACUGUUGCUUUAUGCCUUUGAAAUGUAGGUGUCUAUAAAGUGGAGAAGGCCAGUCUCUUUGCAUGAUUGAUUCUUCAGUGUGUCAACAAAGGUAUCCUACAGAAUGGAAUAAAAUAUGGUUUUCAUGUGUGUGAAACAGUCCAUGCCACAUAGGAGUAUCAAUGAAGAGAUUUCACGCUGAGACAUGUCAGCAGGACAAGUUCAUUGCCAUGAAAAUGCAAGUGGCCAGGACGUGCAAUCCACAUGAAAGGUAAUAAAGAGAGACAUGGUAAAGAGUAAUAGAAAGCUGUCAUAAACUUGUUACUAGACUAGCUGUUAAAUGUAUACCUGCCUCAGAGACAGCGAAAAGGCAUUCAUGAAAUUGUUUUUUCCUCUUUUCUACCCCCAGAAAUUAUAUUACAGUAGUAGUGGGUGGCAUCAAACCAAAAUGUGUGAAAUGUCAAAUACAUGAAUAGUACACAUUUCAUUGUUGUUAAGGAUAACAUGCCACGAUAUAUACCUACUAAACGUUGUGGGAUAUCGGAACCACAUGGGCCCAACCGAAAGCGGGGCUGGCCAAAACCGGCUCUGCUGGCAAGGUGUUGUUGCGGCCCUAUGCUCCUUAAAGGAGCAACAAAGAAUAAACUAACUUUAAGUUUUUUGGAAACUUUUUGUUGCUUAACAGCAAUGUUAAAUGUCGUGAAAGAUCAAUAGGUAUUAGGUAUUCUAAUGAAAUAUUCAUGAUUUUUAUAUUAACAGGAUACUAAUUUAUGUGGUAUUAAAAUCAUAAUUUUGCGACCAUAUGUAACUCAUAAAAUAUAUUUUGUUGACCUUUUAACCCAUCAGAUUGUGCCAACAUGUAGAAAUUUUGUAUUAUACAUGUUUUGUAAUCUGUAAAAUGAGAAAAUUACAGCAGGGAGCAGUUUUAUCUCUUAUAUAUUGGGUCAGAGAUAAGUGUUUAAGCAUGUCAUGCACAGUACUAAUAACUCAAUAGCCAUUCCAAGGUUUAUUGAUGGUUUUAUAAUUAGAUGGCUGCAUCCACUGGAAAAUUUAAGAAACAGUCAUGUCUGCUGGGAUAUGCUUUCAUAUGGGUUUAGAAAAUGUGCAGGGAUUUUUGGAGACUACAGCCUGCUGAUGACUACCAGUAACAAUUAAAAUGCUUUAGCAGCUUAAUGGCAAUGUAUGGGAGUGCUAAAUCUGAAAUUUGUGUUAAUUUCACUGUAUAAAUUUAUGUAUAUAAAAGGCAGCAUUAUUGCCUAUGUACAGCCAAGAUUCAUUACCAGAACAUCACCCAAGUCUGCUGAUCAAUCAACAGAAAGUGUCUUUAUUAGUUACAACUCAUAAAUUUAGGUGAUUUCAACACCCUGUAGCACACACUUGUAAGUUUUAAUCAGUUUACAGCAGGUAGGCAUGUAUUCAUAUGGCAUGCUAGCCAAUUCAGUUUAGGCACAUCAGCUACAAGGUUUUUAAAGUUUUAACUUUAUGAUUAAAGAUAGAUGUUUGUUCUCAUAGCAGUUUAAGUUGCCCCCACCCCCAUAACUUCGCCAUUUACAUAAACCAAAUUUUUUGUGAAACCAACAAAAAACUCCCAAAACUAUAACCUGAAAAUUAUCUGCUAAAUAAACGAAGACCACACAAAACUAAUACAAAUAAAAAGUUUAUUAGAAACUGAAACAUGCAAUCAACAGCAGCUUACAAUAAUCUUACACUUGCUUUUGCCAAGAGUUACAAACCUUUCAGAGGGCAACAAAUAUCUAGCUUUCUGAUGAGAAAUUAUUUCAUGAAUAAAUGUCAAAGCUUCAAGGUAUUCACAAAGCUCAAUUUAUGUACAUGUAAAUACUUUUGCUUAAAUCAAUAGCUGGUCAGUAAACACUAACAUGAAAAAAAAAAAAAA